UACGUAGGGUGCAAGCGUUGUCCGGAAUUAUUGGGCGUAAAGAGCUUGUAGGCGGUUUGUCGCGUCUGCUGUGAAAUUUCGGGGCUCAACCCCGAACUUGCAGUGGGUACGGGCAGACUAGAGUGUGGUAGGGGAGACGUGGAAUUCCUGGUGUAGCGGUGAAAUGCGCAGAUAUCAGGAGGAACACCGAUGGCGAAGGCAGGUCUCUGGGCCAUAACUGACGCUGAGAAGCGAAAGCAUGGGGAGCGAACAGGA
rnacentral:rRNA from 1 species